CGUACCAAGUAUAAAAGGAAGUUUUGCGAAUUAAAAUUCACAUAACAUAUUGCUGUUGAACAUUGAAACAUCUUCGGUACUUUUUGUUAAACAAAAUGUAUUUUAUUUUAUUUUGCGCUUUGUCAGCCGUGACCUUAACUAGUGCUAAACAGACAUAUACUGAUCUGCCAUCAGACGUUGUUGGAUUGCUUACUGAGAAAUCGGUAGGAUGUAUCGCAGAAACUGGCGCCGAUAUCAACAUUUUACAGCGAGUCUUGCAAUGGCAAUUCGACAAUGAUAAAACCAGUAAAAAGUUUGCAUUUUGUCUAUUCAGAAACUGCGGCUUAGUUGACGACAGUGGACGAUUCGAUGAGAAUCAAAUUAUUAAUUCAUUAUACAGAAAUAGUAUUAAAAAGGACGAGAUAGCAAAGGUCGCUAAGGAAUGUAAUAGUAUCGAGAACAAAAAUCCUUUAAACAAAAUGCAUCAAGGUAUCCAAUGCUU